AUUGAACGCUGGCGGCAGGCCUAACAAAUGCAAGUCGAACGAGUGGCGGACGGGUGAGCAAUGUCUGGGAAACUGCCUGAUGGAGGGGGAUAACGACUGGAAACGGUAGCUAAUACCGCAUAACAUCAGAUGUGCCCAGAUGGGAUUAGCUUGUUGGUGGGGUAAAGGACAACCAAGGCGAAGAUCCCUAGCUGGUCUGAGAGGAUGACCGGCCACACUGGAACUGAGACACGGUCCAGACGCCUACGGGAGGCAGCAGUGGGGAAUAUGGCACAAGGGGCGAAAGCCUGAUGCAGCCAUGCCGCGUGUAUGAAGAAGGCCUUCGGGUUGUAAAGUACUUUCAGCGGGGAGGCGUUACCCGCAGAAGAAGCACCGGCUAACUCCGUGCCAGCAGCCGCGGUAAUAC
rnacentral:rRNA from 1 species